AUACGUAGGGGGCGAGCGUUGUCCGGAAUUACUGGGCGUAAAGGGUGCGUAGGCGGUCUGUUAAGUCAGAUGUGAAACUCCAUGGCUCAACUGUGGGCUUGCAUAUGAAACUGGCAGACUAGAGUGCAGGAGAGGGAAGUGGAAUUCCUAGUGUAGCGGUGAAAUGCGUAGAGAUUAGGAGGAACACCAGUGGCGAAGGCGGCUUUCUGGCCUGUAACUGACGCUGAGGCACGAAAGCGUGGGGAGCGAACAGGAUUAGAUACCCUGGUAGUCCACGCCGUAAACGAUGGAUACUAGGUGUAGGGGGUAUUAAGCCUUCGGUGCCGCAGUUAACGCAAUAAGUAUCCCGCCUGGGGAGUACGGCCGCAAGGCUGAA
rnacentral:rRNA from 1 species